rnacentral:rRNA from 1 species
AACCUGGUUGAUCCUGCCAGUAGUCAUAUGCUUGUCUCAAAGAUUAAGCCAUGCAUGUCUAAGUAUAAACAAGUUUAUACUGUGAAACUGCGAAUGGCUCAUUAAAUCAGUUAUAGUUUAUUUGAUAGUAGAUUACUACUUGGAUAACCGUAGUAAUUCUAGAGCUAAUACAUGCGAAAAGACCCGACUUUUGCGGAAGGGUUGCAUUUAUUAGAUACAAAACCAAUGCGAGGGGGGGCAACUCCCCUCGGUGCAUGGUGAUUCAUAAUAACUUUUGCGGAUCGCAUGGCCUUUGCGCCGGCGACGAAUCAUUCAAAUUUCUGCCCUAUCAACUUUCGAUGGUAAGGUAUUGGCCUACCAUGGUUACCACGGGUAACGGGGAAUUAGGGUUCGGUUCCGGAGAGGGAGCCUGAGAAAUGGCUACCACAUCCAAGGAAGGCAGCAGGCGCGCAAAUUACCCAAUCCUGACACAGGGAGGUAGUGACAAUAAAUAACAAUGCAGGGCCCUCUGGGCUUUGUAAUUGGAAUGAGUACAAUUUAAAUCUCUUAACGAGUACCAAUUGGAGGGCAAGUCUGGUGGAUUGUCAACAUGUUUCGACGCACUCCAGAAGGAGACAAAGGAAGGGGAGUGCGCGACAAAGACAAAAAAAAAGCGAGUGUGAAGCACUGCUGACGCCAGAGAUAGUUGGGCCGCAUCCCGAGUGAGGGCAUGCAUGCGGCUAGGCCAGCUAGUUGACUGUCCAUUCUUUGCAGGGGGACAGCAACGAGACAACCUGGAACGAGGAAGGCAAAGUAAGACAAGAGAAAAAAGGAAACAAAAGUCUUUUGCUAAUCUCGUGGUGAGUCGCCUGCGUACAGUGUAGCAGAGUCGGCCAUCGUAACGCGCGGAAAGGUGUCGGCGAUGCACCGGAGAGUGGUCGCUUGAGGAACGUGCUAAUCCCCGAGGAAACUCGGUCUUGUGCUGGAGCACCUGCAAUGCAAAGGUACAAGAGACCCGUGUAAAGGUGAGGGAGGAAAUGCCCUCGGCCAAUGGGGUCGGUAGAAUCAAUGGCCAGCAGCCGCGGUAAUUCCAGCUCCAAUAGCGUAUAUUAAAGUUGUUGCAGUUAAAAAGCUCGUAGUUGAAUUUCGGGGCUCCUUAUGUAAUAGCCGCGCGGUCGAAACCCAGCCGGGGGGGUAACACCUUCUGGUGAUGGGGCGUACUGCGGGCGGGGCCCAGUAUCCAAUUUUUUCUCGAAGCCGACCCGUGCCCUUCACUGGGUUGCGGGGCUCUCGGACUCGAGACAUUUACUUUGAAAAAAUUAGAGUGUUCAAAGCAGGCAGCUUCGCUUGAAUACAUUAGCAUGGAAUAAUGGAAUAGGACUUUGGUCUUAUUUUGUUGGUUUCUAGGACCGAAGUAAUGAUUAAUAGGGACAGUUGGGGGCAUUCGUAUUUAAUUGUCAGAGGUGAAAUUCUUGGAUUUAUGAAAGACGAACUUCUGCGAAAGCAUUUGCCAAGGAUGUUUUCAUUAAUCAAGAACGAAAGUUAGGGGAUCGAAGACGAUUAGAUACCGUCGUAGUCCUAACCAUAAACUAUGCCGACUCGGGAUCGGCGGGGGAUUAUCAAAGACCCCGUCGGCACCGUACGAGAAAUCAAAGUUUUUGGGUUCUGGGGGGUGUAUGGUCGCAAGGCUGAAACUUAAAGGAAUUGACGGAACGGCACACCAGGAUUGGAGCCUGCGGCUUAAUUUGACUCAACACGGGGAAACUCACCUGGUCCAGACAUCGUAAGGAUUGACAGAUUGAGAGCUCUUUCUUGAUU